rnacentral:lncRNA from 1 species
AGGGGGUGCUCUCAGAAUCACCACUGGUGAAAGAAGAAAGAGAAGCAGAAUGGAAAGAAGGAGAAGCUGAGCUCGGAUUGCUCAUGAUGCAAAUGAUUUCCAUCUGGAAGAGAGACCUCAUUUAAGCCAGUGGUUCUCAGUGUGACUUCAGCCAGCAGAAACAGCAUCACCUGGGAACUUG